rnacentral:rRNA from 1 species
UACGUAGGGGGCAAGCGUUGUCCGGAAUCAUUGGGCGUAAAGCGCGCGUAGGCGGCCCGGUAAGUCCGCUGUAAAAGUCCAGGGCUCAACCCUGGAAAGCCGGUGGAUACUGUCAGGCUAGAGUCCGGAAGAGGCGAGUGGAAUUCCUGGUGUAGCGGUGGAAUGCGCAGAUAUCAGGAGGAACACCGAUGGCGAAGGCAGCUCGCUGGGACGGUACUGACGCUGAGGCGCGAAAGCGUGGGGAGCGAACAGG